rnacentral:rRNA from 1 species
AACGAACGCUGGCGGCAUGCCUAACACAUGCAAGUCGAACGAGACCUUCGGGUCUAGUGGCGCACGGGUGCGUAACGCGUGGGAACCUGCCCUUAGGUUCGGAAUAACUCCCCGAAUGGGGUGCUAAUACCGGAUCAUGUCUUCGGACCAAAGAUUUAUCGCAUUUGGAUGGGCCUGCGUUGGAUUAGCUAGUUGGUAGGGUAAAAGCCUACCAAGGCGACGAUCCAUAGCUGGUCUGAGAGGAUGAUCAGCCACACUGGGACUGAGACACGGCCGAGACUCCUACGGGAGGCAGCAGUGGGGAAUAUUGGACAAUGGGCGAAAGCCUGAUCCAGCAAUGCCGCGUGAGUGAUGAAGGCCUUAGGGUUGUAAAGCUCGUUUACCCGGGAUGAUAAUGACAGUACCGGGAGAAUAAGCUCCGGCUAACUCCGUG